CCUACGGGGGGCAGCAGUGGGGAAUAUUGCACAAUGGGGGAAAGCCUGAUGCAGCAACGCCGCGUGAGCGAUGAAGGCCUUCGGGUCGUAAAGCUCUGUCCUAAGGGAAGAAUACUGACGGUACCUUAGGAGGAAGCCCCGGCUAACUACGUGCCAGCAGCCGCGGUAAUACGUAGGGGGCUAGCGUUAUCCGGAAAUACGGGGCGUAAAGGGUGCGUAGGCGGCCCUUCAAGUCAGAGGUGAAAGGCUACGGCUCAACCGUAGUAAGACUUUGAAACUGUAGGGCUUGAGUUCAGGAGAGGAGAGAGGAAUUCCCAGUGUAGCUGUGAAAUGCGUCGAUAUUGGGGGGAAUACCAGUUAGGGAGGCGGCUCUCUGGACUGUAAAUUACGCUGAGGCAUGAAAGCGUGGGGAGCGAACAGGAUUAGAUACCCCGGUAGUC
rnacentral:rRNA from 1 species